rnacentral:ncRNA from 1 species
UCAUAAGCCAUAAAAAGCUGCCUUGCUCACAGUAAUGUGAGAAAUAAUCCGAUCAUAGCCAUAUGCUGGAAAGUCGCAAGACCAAUCAGCAGGGAAGACUAACAAUGUGUUAGAACCCUCAGAGACUAGAUGCUAUGCUCCUGAGCAAUCAGGAUGAAGAUAGAGUCCAAUCGUGUGAGGAAUCGAAGA